UACCGAGCGCCGCGAGGUGACGGGAUGAGCAUGCAGAAGUCAGCCGAAGCCGUAGUAAGUGACGAAUAACCCGUCAUCCGC
rnacentral:ncRNA from 1 species